UUUUGGAGAGGGAUAGGUAUGCUAGCAGGUUACUUAGGAAUCUUACGUGCUAGAGGGAUUUUAAGCAUAGGAUUCAAUCAUCUUAAAUAAAACCAUUGGAUCGAGAGAAGAGGUCACAACCUUCAAUCCACCGCUAAUGCACCGUAUCUCUCCCCCUUUUUUUCUCCGCCACUCCCUGCUUGACAUGAAUCCUCUCGCUCUCACCGCCCUCUACUAGGUCUCCCUCCUCCUGCCACUCCACCUCUUCAGCCUCUAUACAACUUGUCGCCUCUUCCCAACACUCGGUUCAACAAUCCUUCUUCUUCUUCUACCUUUCUCCUUCCUGUUCGUCUCUGUACAAAUCCUUGCCCCUGCCAUCGCCAUUGCAAUUGUAACCCGACCUUCACCAUCUGUUUUUACCAAAAUCCCAACUCCCUCUACCCCGACUAAUCACAAUCGGGCUUUGCUUCCCUCCCUCUGCUAAUUAACAUCCCAGCCGAGGUGAGGUUAAUCUCUUUUGCAAACCUGCACCCUCACCUUGCUUGCAAUUCCACCUCCUCUGUUUUCUAUAUUGUGCUUAUUCUUCAAUUACAGUCUUGCUCCUGCACUUAACUUUGCUUUUGCUAUUUUUUUAAACUUUUUUUUUUUUUUAAUUUCACUCUCAGUAAACAUGCUGAAGUUUAGGCAAGAGAAUUUGUUCUGUUAUCUCUUUUUUAUUUUUCUCUUUUUCUUUCUCCUCGUCGUCUCUUAUCAAUGAGAUUCAAGGGAAGAAAAUUGUUCUCUUAACGAUAAUCUCGCUUUUGGUUUCUCUCUCUAUCACGCUCCCCUUUUUUCCCUUUUUAUAUUUGUGAGUGCGUGAGGAAGUAGGAAUUGAAUGGAGAAAGAAAUAGAAAGUGCAGAUUUGGGAGAAAAUGCUAUGUAGGAGAGGAAGAGAGAGAUAGAGAGAGAGGCAACAGGGAUCGACAAUUUUUUUGGAAGGAAGGUAGAACCAGAGACUGAGAGGAAGAACAGAGUAAGAAUUUUUGGUUUUAAUUAUGUGAGAAUGGAGCUGCCUAAGUUCAAAUGGGAUUUUGAAGUUGAAAGGGAGAUCUGUUCUGAAAUUCUCAUCACAUGAAGAUUGUGGGGUCUGACGGUGGAUCUGAUUGGCUUUCGAUAAGGGUGGAACGUUGAGGGAAUCCAGAGAAGAUACCAUUACAUACCCCUCUCUGUUUGCUGAGAAGCUUUCUUCUUCUGUUCAGGGACGGGUUAUCUCCUUCGGUACAGCUCUACAGCAUACAAAACGGGCGCAAAAUCUUUGCUAAAAUGUUUCUCUAGAUUUUGGAAAACUUUGUCCUUUUUUCAAUUUCAGAUUUGGGAGAAAAUGCUUUGUAGGAGAGAGAGAGAGAGAGAGAGAGAGAGAGAGAGAGAGAGAGAGAGAGAGAGAGAGAGAGAGAGAGAGAGGCAGCAAGGAUCGACAAUUCUUUUGGACGGGAGGCAGAAUCGGAGACUGUGAUGAAGGGGAAAGGUAGAAGAAGAAGGAAGACCGUAGAGUGGCGGUACUGGGCAGAUCAUAUAAGACAACUGUUACCAAUGGAUGAGAUUUCUUAUGUUUCAUCUAAUGGCUAAUAGAUGUUAGCAUGCCUAAUUCCAAGAUUUUGUGAAAAAGACUAGGAGGAGGUGACCGUUAUUCAGAUGGGCAAUAAGGGUGAGGCAAGCUUGAGGCCUUGGUAUUCUUGGCUCUUGUAAUUUGAUCUGUUUAACAUACUAGAAGUAUUGUAUAAAACAACUUCUUUGUAAUGCUCCAACCCCAUUAACCUUGCA